rnacentral:rRNA from 1 species
GACGAACGCUGGCGGCGUGCCUAAUACAUGUAAGUAGAACGCUGAAGGAGGAGCUUGCUUCUCUGGAUGAGUUUCGAACGGGUGAGUAACGCGUAGGUAACCUGACUGGUAGCGGGGGAGAACUAUUGGAAACGAUAGCUAAUACCGCAUAAUAGUAGAUGUUGCAUGACAUUUGCUUAAAAGUUGCAAUUGCGUCACUACCAGAUUGACCUGCGUUGGAUUAGCUAGUUGGGGGGGUAACGGCUCACCAAGGCGACGAUACAUAGCCGACCGGAGAGGAUGAUCGGCAGCUCUGGGAAGAGGACACGGCCCAGAAUCCUACGGGAGGCAGCAGUAGGGAACCUUCGGCAAGGGACGGAAGGCUGACCGAGGCACGCCGCGAGAGGGAAGAAGGGUUUCGGAUCGUAAAGCUCGGUUGUAAGAGAAGAACGAGCGUGAGAGUGGAAAGUUCACACUGUGACGGUAUCUGACCAGAAAGGGACGGCUAACUACGUG